rnacentral:rRNA from 1 species
CAGGCCUAACACAUGCAAGUCGAACGGUAACAGAGAAGAGCUUGCUCUUUUGCUGACGAGUGGCGCACGGGUGCGUAACGCGUAUAUAAUCUACCUUUUACAGGGGGACAGCCUUUAGAAAUGAAGAAUAAUACCCCAUAGUAAGUUGUUUUGGCAUCGAGAUAACUUUAAAGCUUCGGCGGUAAAAGAUGAAUAUGCGUUCUAUUAGCUAGAUGGUGUGGUAACGGCACACCAUGGCGACGAUAGAUAGGGGCCCUGAGAGGGGGAUCCCCCACACUGGUACUGAGACACGGACCAGACUCCUACGGGAGGCAGCAGUGAGGAAUAUUGGACAAUGGGCGGAAGCCUGAUCCAGCCAUGCCGCGUGCAGGAAGACUGCCCUAUGGGUUGUAAACUGCUUUUAUACGGGAAGAACCCCAUCUACGUGUAGAUGGCUGACGGUACCGUAAGAAUAAGGAUCGGCCAACUCCCGUGCCAGCAGCCGCGGAAAUACGGAGAAUCCAAGCGUUAUCCGGAAUCAUUGGGUUUAAAGGGUCCGUAGGUGGAUAAUUAAGUCAGGGGUGAAAGUCUGCAGCUCAACUGUAGAAUUGCCUUUGAUACUGGUUAUCUUGAAUUAUUGUGAAGUGGUUAGAAUAUGUAGUGUAGCGGUGAAAUGCAUAGAUAUUACAUAGAAUACCAAUUGCGAAGGCAGAUCACUAAACAAUAUAUUUGACACUGAUGGACGAAAGCGUGGGGAGCGAACAGGAUUAGAUACCCUGGUAGUCCACGCCGUAAACGAUGGUCACUAGCUGUUCGGACUUCGGUCUGAGUGGCUAAGCGAAAGUGAUAAGUGACCCACCUGGGGAGUACGUUCGCAAGAAUGAAACUCAAAGGAAUUGACGGGGGCCCGCACAAGCGGUGGAGCAUGUGGUUUAAUUCGAUGAUACGCGAGGAACCUUACCAGGGCUUAAAUGUAAGUUGCAUUAGUUAGAGAUAGCUAUUUCUUCGGACUACUUACAAGGUGCUGCAUGGUUGUCGUCAGCUCGUGCCGUGAGGUGU